CCUACGGGGGGCUGCAGUAACGAAUCUUCCGCAAUGCACGCAAGUGUGACGGAGCGACGCCGCGUGGAGGACGAAGUCCUUCGGGAUGUAAACUCCUGUCAGGGGCUACCGGGGCCCCAGAGGAAGGCACGGCUAACUCUGUGCCAGCAGCCGCGGUAAGACAGAGGUGCCGAGCGUUAGGCGGAAUCACUGGGCUUAAAGCGUGUGUAGGCGGCCCGUUAAGUACCUUGUGAAAUCCCCCGGCUCAACCGGGGAACGGCUGGGUAUACUGGCGGGCUUGGGUCACCCAGGGGCAGACGGAACAAGCGGUGGAGCGGUGAAAUGCGUAGAUAUCGCUUGGAACGCCGGCGGCGAAAGCGGUCUGCUGGGUGUGCCGACGCUGAGACACGAAAGCCAGGGGAGCGAACGGGAUUAGAUACCCUUGUAGUC
rnacentral:rRNA from 1 species